GACAGCAGUCGCCGCGGGAAUACGGAGGGUGCAAGCGUUAAUCGGAAUUACUGGGCGUAAAGCGCACGCAGGCGGUCUGACAAGUCAGAUGUGAAAUCCCCGGGCUUAACCUGGGAACUGCAUUUGAAACUGUCAGGCUGGAGUCUUGUAGAGGGGGGUGGAAUUCCAGGUGUAGCGGUGAAAUGCGUAGAGAUCUGGAGGAAUACCGGUGGCGAAGGCGGCCCCCUGGACAAAGACUGACGCUCAGGUGCGAAAGCGUGGGGAGCAAACAGGAUUAGAUACCCGGGUAGUCCCUGUCUCUUAUAC
rnacentral:rRNA from 1 species